rnacentral:rRNA from 1 species
AUUGAACGCUGGCGGCAGGCCUAACACAUGCAAGUCAAGCGAGAGGCGCACGGGUGAGUAAAAUGUGGGAAACUGCCGGAUGUCGGGGGAGAACUACUGGAAACGGUAGCUAAUACCGCAGCCCCUCAGCUGUUCCGAGAUGAGAUUAGCUGGUAGGUGGGGUAACGGCUCACCUAGGCGAGGAUCCGUCGCUGGUCUGAGAGGAUGACCAGCACAACUGGAACGGAGCAAGGGUCCAGAUUCCUACGGGAGGCAGCAGUGGGGAAUAUUGGACAAGGGGCGCAAGCCGGCUGCAGCCAGGCCGCGUGGGUGAAGAAGGCCUUCGGGUUGUAAAGCACGUUCAGCGGGGAGGCGGUACCCGCAGAAGAAGCACCGGCUAACUCCGUGCCAGCAGCCGCGGUAAUAC